ACUCAGCCUUGUCUCAGGAUGGUAAGUUGGUGGUUGAAGAUAUCCCUCUAGUGGUGUGGGGGCUGUGCUUUGGCAAAGUGGGUGGGGUUAUAUCCUUCCUGUUUGGCCCUGUCCGGGGGUGUCCUCGGAUGGGGCCACAGUGUCUCCUGACCCCUCCUGUCUCAGCCUCCAGUAUUUAUGCUGCAGUAGUUUAUGUGUCGGGGGGAUAGGGUCAGUUUGUUAUAUCUGGAGUACUUCUCCUGUCCUAUUCGGUGUCCUGUGUGAAUCUAAGUGUGCGCUCUCUAAUACUCUCCUUCUCUCUUUCUCUCUCUCGGAGGACCUGAGCCCUAGGACCAUGCCCCAGGACUACCUGACAUGAUGACUCCUUGCUGUCCCCAGUCCACUUGGCCGUGCUGCUGCUCCAGUUUCAACUGUUCUGCCUUAUUAUUAUUCGACCAUGCUGGUCAUUUAUGAACAUUUGAACAUCUUGGCCAUGUUCUGUUAUAAUCUCCACCCGGCACAGCCAGAAGAGGACUGGCCACCCCACAUAGCCUGGUUCCUCUCUAGGUUUCUUCCUAGGUUUUGGCCUUUCUAGGGAGUUUUUCCUAGCCACAUGCUUCUACUCCUGCAUUGCUUGCUGUUUGGGGUUUUAGGCUGGGUUUCUGUACAGCACUUUGAGACAUCAGCUGAUGUAAGAAGGGCUUUAUAAAUACAUUUGAUUGAUAUAAUGACAACUUACACUGCCAUAAAUGCAAGGCCAAAAAGUAAUGUUUUAUGUGACACGAUUUUGGACAAAUCCAUGAAGACACCAAUAAGGCUGUGGCAGUCACAGAAUUUCUACACAUAGCCUACAAGACACUGUUGCAGGAACAUUUACAUUUUAAAAAGUCUAAUAAAUCCAUGUCAUAUAGCCCACACUUUCACAAUUAAUCCAUUAUAUAUCUUAGACCGGUCUAAAGAAAUAUAUUUUAUCCAAACGAUUUGAGAGAGAGCGCACAUGCAUCUAUUCUGUGUUGAGCGGUUAACAAAGAAAUAGGUACUCUGUAAGGGCAAUUUCUGUUAAACCUUACUGAUGCUUGUAUACUACAAGAUCUUUCUUUAAGCUUAGUUGCUUAGGCAUAAAUAUUUAUAUUGUUAAAGAAGCUAGAUCAUAUAAGAUAAAUGUGUGUGCAUUAGUAUAGGCCUGUUUUAACUUGUGUGUGUAGUAUAGGAACCUACCUAGGGAAGUAGGUCCCCAUUGUCUGAUCUGGGCCCACAGCCAAGAGCUGACCAGAGCGACCAAUGGUAUCCUGUUAGUCAGAAGAGAAUGAACUGAUUACUCUUAAUCUACUGAAAACAGAGCAAAGUGUUGUAUCCUGGGCACCAGUGAUAAAGAUGUUGUCCUGGUAUUAGCUUGUUGCUGGGUGAAAGAUUCAUGAUUGUGUAUGUGUGGGUGUGAAACCAUCUAUCAUCUUGGCAGACAGCAAAAGGCGCUUGCUGGCUAAUGUAUGAGGAACUAGUGAUUUCCCUGUUGCUCUGACACCUAUUGUCCUUUGUUCUCACUAGAAGAUUUGAAUAACCAGCAGUUGCUACAGGACGAGACAACCAAAUUCUGUACCUUUUAUCCCAGUUUAGUCCUUUUUCUCCAUGCACAUACAAAGAUCAUGUGUUUUGUAUAUGUUUGCAUAAGACAGCCUGACUAUAUAAGGUUCCUGCAUUUCUAGUGUCAUUUGGGCUCUCGGCCUUCCACCUGAGAGUGGAGGACUGACCAGCUGCAUUAUUGCAAUUCUUAUUAAAUAAAGGUUGAUUGUUCCUCAUUAAUUAGAAUUUCCAUGACAAGUGGCGACCCUUCGUGUAGGACAGAGGGUCUUUUUUCCCAAGCUUAAAAUUAUAAACAUGAAUCAUUGGCCAUGCUGUCAAUCCAGCAUGACUUCUGCCUCUCUCAAAACAACUGGAAACUCAGAAUUGGGAAAUCUCAGACUUCAGUAAGUUCAAGACAACUGUGAACUCAGAAAAUACGAGCUCCAACUGGGAAAAUACAAUUUGAACGGUCAUCCAACACGGAAUUUCAAGUCAGGAACUCGGCCUCUUUCUAGAGUUCCGACCUGAAGAUCACUAACAUCAUGAUUUGACCUUGUUUUUUCCCAAAUUUCCAGUUGUCUUGAAAGCACCAUGAAUUCAGAGAAUGCCAGACAUUGAUGACAAAGGUUGAUGACAAAAUCUGCCCACAAAGGACCGCCGCACCACCUUCCUGUUCAAGUGAGGACCGCACAACAAGAGACGUGAAGGAGAAGCUCGUCGGAUGUUGAUCUCUUCUCGGCUUCUCUCAAGUGAGCACAGCACAACAAGAUUUGAACAAUACCAGAUGAACAAAAGUGUCACAAGUGAACCACAACAGUCUCCAAUCUCACAGUUCAUGAAGACCAGUGUAGGGCAGUACAGCAUGAAUCAUCCACAGCAGAAAUCUAUCAACAAUGCAAUACUGUCCGACCUGGUUAUCAACUGCAACUUGCCUCUGUCUAUUGUGGAAAACAAGAGUUUUCGUCACUUUCUGUCAGUGGUUGACAGUAAGUACAGCCCAGUGUGUCGUAGAACAUUGACAUCAAAAGGGGAGAACCUCGCUACAGAGAGAAGUUCAAAACUGAAAACUCAGUUGAGCAAGACAGACCAUGUUUCAGUCACAGUGGACAUUUGGUCUCACCGAAAGAUGAGGGGGUUCCUUGGUGUCACUGUGCACUGUAUGGAGAAAGAUGGAGAGAGGAUACAGCUCAAGUCCAAUCUCUUGGCCUGUGACCGCUUCAAAGGCCCACACACGGCCGAAAGAAUCUGUAAGCAAUUUGAGGCCAUAUGUGGUGAGUACAGCAUUAAAGAUAAAUUGGACUAUAUCAUUAGUGACAAUGCUGCCAACAUGAGAAAAGCAUUCACUGUGUGCUUCCCCAUUGAACAAGAAGAUGAAGUACUUGACAAAGAUCACCUUGAUGACCCAGAGCUCUGGAAUGACCUGACCCUGGAAGACCAGCAAACAGUGGAUGCUGCUAUUGCAAAAAACAGCACUGUGUUUUGCCCACACUCUCCAGCUGGUGGUGUGAAGUGAUGACGACUCUUUCAAAGUUAUCAAAAAUCCGCUCACUGCUACAUACAAGCACAACAUUCAAAGAGGUGUUUGAGGCUGAAUUUGGGGAAAGGGGCAUCCCUGCUGCGGUCAACACAAGAUGGAACUCAAAACUGAAACAAGUGAAGGCAGUUAUCCAAUGUGACCAUCUUAAGCUCAAUCAUGUUCUACAAAAGGCUGGGCACAAGGAGUUGUUGUUCACAGUAUGGGAGUGGAAUAAGUUGAAGGAGUUGGUGGACAUCCUGAAGCCAUUUGGAGAAGCAACAGAUAUGACACAGGUGGAGAAGAUAGUCACAAUCAGUUCUGUUGUUCCCUCGGUCCUGUCCCUGAAUCACCACCUGGAGCAGCGGAAGCCUCAAGUCCAUUUCCUGAGCGGCCUGGUCAGAAGUCUCCAGGCAUCCCUGAACAAAAGAUUUCUUUGAAUCUUCAUCAAUGUGAAAAUGGCCAGGACAUAAGAUGGAAUCACUGCCCCCUUUUCAGAUCCAGUCUACCUCAAAGCAGCUGCCUUGAAUCUGGCUUUUUCUCUGAUGUGGGUGGAGCACCAUGUGCUGGUCAAGGAGGAGUUGGCACAAAGAGUGAAAGAACUGAUUCUGCAAGAUGCUACAUGGACUGAGCAAGCUGUGCCUCUUGUUGAUGAGGAAGAGUGAGAGGACCAUAGUCUUGGACAAGAAGAAGGGCUGUUUACAGCAAAUUGUAAGAUGCAGAAGAAAGCUGUUACAGGUUGUAAGUUGUUACAGGUCUGUGAGAGCCAGAAAUCUUGCUUGUUUGUAGGUGACCAAAUACUUAUUUUCCACCAUAAUUUGCAAAUAGAUUAAUUAAAAAUCCUACAAUGUGA